GACGAACGCUGGCGGCGUGCUUAACACAUGCAAGUCGAACGAAGAGCGAUGGAAGCUUGCUUCUAUCAAUCUUAGUGGCGAACGGGUGAGUAACGCGUAAUCAACCUGCCCUUCAGAGGGGGACAACAGUUGGAAACGACUGCUAAUACCGCAUACGAUCUAACCUCCGCAUCGAGGAAAGAUGAAAGGUGGCCUCUAUUUAUAAGCUAUCACUGAAGGAGGGGAUUGCGUCUGAUUAGCUAGUUGGAGGGGUAACGGCCCACCAAGGCGAUGAUCAGUAGCCGGUCUGAGAGGAUGAACGGCCACAUUGGGACUGAGACACGGCCCAGACUCCUACGGGAGGCAGCAGUGGGGAAUCUUCCGCAAUGGACGAGAGUCUGACGGAGCAACGCCGCGUGAGUGAUGACGGCCUUCGGGUUGUAAAGCUCUGUUAAUCGGGACGAAAGGCCUUCUUGCGAACAGUUAGAAGGAUUGACGGACCGAAUAGAAAGCCAC
rnacentral:rRNA from 1 species